rnacentral:rRNA from 1 species
UGAGCUUGAUCCUGGCUCAGAUUGAACGCUGGCGGCAGGCCUAACACAUGCAAGUCGAGCGGUAGAGAGAAGCUUGCUUCUCUUGAGAGCGGCGGACGGGUGAGUAAUGCCUAGGAAUCUGCCUGGUAGUGGGGGAUAACGUUCGGAAACGGACGCUAAUACCGCAUACGUCCUACGGGAGAAAGCAGGGGACCUUCGGGCCUUGCGCUAUCAGAUGAGCCUAGGUCGGAUUAGCUAGUUGGUGAGGUAAUGGCUCACCAAGGCGACGAUCCGUAACUGGUCUGAGAGGAUGAUCAGUCACACUGGAACUGAGACACGGUCCAGACUCCUACGGGAGGCAGCAGUGGGGAAUAUUGGACAAUGGGCGAAAGCCUGAUCCAGCCAUGCCGCGUGUGUGAAGAAGGUCUUCGGAUUGUAAAGCACUUUAAGUUGGGAGGAAGGGCAGUUACCUAAUACGUGAUUGUUUUGACGUACCGACAG